rnacentral:rRNA from 1 species
AUGAUCAGGUGUUCGGCCCCCCUUCCCGAAGGCUCACCGGAUCCUGUACUAGCCAGGAUCCUUGAGCUUGCGCCUUAUCAAGCGCCAUCAGGGGAAGAUAAAGGGAGGAAUAAAGAAGCCGAAAGCGAGCCUCACUCAUUAUUCAUCCAAACCGGGGGAAUUAGUGCCUCUGCGAAGGAGGAUAACCGGGGAGAAGAACCUAAAAUUCCGUCUCCCCAAGGAAGGAAGAGGGCCGCCUCUGAAGACUUGGAAACAACGGUUUCCAAACGAGGGAAGAAACCUUUGUCAGGGGGCCCCACCCUGGAGGGCAUCCUUACCGAACAGUGCCCGCAAGGGGACCAGCCCUCCACCGAGUUGUAA